UGAGAAAGUUCUAUUAUUGCCCAGGAGGUACUCACUGGUUUGACCUAAGAAAGAUAAGACUUGUGGAGAAUGAUGACAAUUCUUAACACAUGCAACUUGCCCUUUUGGAGGGGGCCGUGGGGCAAGGAUCUGAGGAUGGCAUCUGGACAACAGCCCACCAGGAACUGAAUCCUGCCAACCAACACUGAGUCAACUUGAAAGUGGGUCCUCCCUGAGUUGAGCCUGGAGAUGACUGUAGCCUUGGCCGACCCUGGGAUUUCAGUCUUGUGGGAGACCAUUAGCCAGAGGCACACAGUGCUGUGAAGAUAAACGAUUUGCAGACUCUCAUGUUCUAUUCUGACAGAGUCAGAGUCAGUACGGGCAAAGUUGUUACUUGCCUUACACGGUACUAUUCUCUGGAGGUGUGCACCG